CAUCAAACACAUAGCCCAAACGGCUCUCUCUAGAUAUUCUGAAAAUACUUUUACACUCUCCAUUUCACAGCAAGUCCUUCUUCCUCCCAUAUAUAUUUUUUUCAUUUCUUUCGGACCCCAUUUCUCUACUCUCUCUCCUUCAUUACUCCCAAAAAACACAAGAACCUUCUAUAUCUUUAGACAAACCGAAUAGACUCUCUCGGAUCUCUUCCCAUUUUCAAAACUCUCAAGCUCAGCCAUCCAUUCAAACCUCCAGUUCACAACAGCUCCUGCAACCGCUGUAAGUGAUGCAUCCGUAGCCUUCCAUAACCCAGCAACAACACACCGCCGUGUCUCGGAAAUCCAGCACCUCGAGCAGCAAGACCAACAACCUGCUCAGAUGAAACCGCAUAUCGCAUCCUGCUCUAGUCUGACACACUCACAGCCCUGUUGGGAAGGGUUCUGGUGGCACAUAAACUUGGGGAGAAAAAGAUUGUGGGGAAAUUGUUUCACGAUCAGCAGGUGGUGUUUCCUCCUUUGGGCAUGACUGGGUGGCAGAUUGCUCUACAAUUCCUGCACCAAUCUCCUCUUGAUCAUUAAAGCUCUUCCCAUAAUUUAAUGCUUGAAUCAGAAAUCCGUCAUUGGUUAUUUCAAUGUAUAAGUCAGUUAAUUCCAACAAUUUAGAGAGCUUGUCCUCCACUGGAAGCUCUUGUGGCACAUUAAGCUGCUCAAAAUAUUGCCCAAGAUGCUCUUUCAAACUUUGAGUGUAGAACUCUGAAUGGGGAUUGUUCCAGUUCCAUUUUGAAUCGUUUCUCAUAUUUAUA